UGAGACAAGCUUGGGAAGAAGGAGCUAGCAGUAAGCCUUACAGGAGGACCUGAACUACAGCCCUCGUAGACUAAGCCCAAAGGGCUACUGCAGGAAGACUGCCUGAGUUUCAGGCAAGCUGGCUGUUUGCUUCUCACAAAGGCUACUAUCUUUUUUUUCUCCUCCUGUGCCUGAGGACUCUGAUCUCCUCUCCCUAAGGAGACCCACUAUCAGCCCAGCCAGCUACAGCUCCUCAGGAUCAGGCUGCCCAGAACAUCAUGACUGGUUCUCCCAUAGGUCAGGGAGCUUAGGAAGCCACCCAUGCCCCUUUGAAGAAGUGAGGAAACUGGGGCAUGGCUGAACAGUACUGAGAGUUGGAACACCUCUGAGAGAACGGGAAACUGAGAACUUCUUUGACUGUGGGUCCAGCCAAGGUCAAAGGAAGCUCUCUGGAGGAGAGACAGAGCAGACUCCACACCCCAGAGAAGAAACCAUGAAAAGAGGUUUAGGAGAAAGGCCUUAGAAUCCUGAAAAGAUACUGACCCAAAUCCUGAAACACUCCAAAGUGCAAUCAGGCUGGGAGGGGUCACUUCCCCAACUAGACAAUGAAGCUAGCUCCAAGUACCUAUCAUUGCACAACCCAGGCAAAGACAAUGAUGGGCCACUAAUGUUAAUGGAAAAACAUCAAAACAACCUGGAACUGAAAAGAGAACCCGAGUCAUGGAAAACUAAGAGAGGAGGACACUUUCCCACUCUGAAUAACCAUGAGUCACCAUGCCAAGUGGUGGGAGACUUAAAAACAGGCUCUUCAGCACCUAUAAACUUUAAAUCCCUAUCUUGAGGAAAGCUCCAAAACUUGAUGUGGUAGAUCCAGAAUACAAAAAAUUUACUAAUUUUAUUUGUUCAUUUGCUCAAUAUUAAUUAUGAAAUUGAUAUUUUGUCAUAAUUUACUUGUGUUUAAAAUUGCUGCUUUGGUGUCAUCCUCACAAAUUGAAAGAAACAGGUACUACUACAAAACCUUGACAGAAAUUAUCCUGUUGGCUGUGAUAAAUGAAUCUCCUCUGAGAGGAGAUGAAGAUGGCAUAACCUUCAAGGACUUAGAGCUUAUGCUGAACAACUCAUCAGGAGUUUUCAUCAGCUUACUUAAGUUUAC